CUAGAAAGCUUUAGCGUACGGGUACAUUGUGUGCGCAUGUGCAUUUUCUUAAGGUGCUACUUUCUUAGGUCUUAUCAGAUUUGCAAAGGUAUCUGUGACUUCUGAGAUUAGAAUCAAUGCUUUGGAACUUGAUGUCUCAUUUCACUUUGAAACUUAAGGGUCUCCAUUUCUAUGACACGUGCAAGGUUGAGCUGUCUCCUAAACUUAUCAGCAAUUAUUAGAGUCAUCUUUGGGUUCACAAAAGGAAUAACAAAGGAAAAAGACAGAGACAGAGCAUCCCUUACCCUCUUUCCCCAAAGCAACUGGGCACUGAGUUGGGAGAAGAGAGGAGGAAGAAAGUUAAAUGGUUAUGUCAGUUAGUUUAUUUCCAAAGACAAGCAACAGAAAUACCAACUGGAAAUGGAUUAAGCAGUAAAAAUGUCCAAGCAUGGAUCUUGCCAAGGUUGAUAAUUUGGCAGUUCAAUGACAUUACCAAAGACCAAGUUUCUUUCCUUCCUCAGCUCCCAUUAGUCCCAAGAUGGUCACCACAGAUCCAGCAUCAUCAGCAAAGCCAACAAUGUCACUGAUAAAAAGGAGCAGCAUCUCUUCCUGUGUGUCUCUUUUUAUCAGUAGAGAGAGAGUUCCCAGAAGCUCCCCAUAAACUUUCACUCAUUUCUCAUUGGCCAGAAUUGUAUCAUGGGUUCCUGCCUAAACCAGUCACAGGCAAGAGUCAUGGUACCACCAACACUGGCUUAAACUAAUUAGGACCAUCCCCCUCCCAGGGAUGAGGAUGGGCUCAACCCCCCAAACCAUAUAGCUGCCAUGGAGGAGGGUGGAGACCAGGGUAAAACUGGGUUUUGUUGGAGGAGUGACUUGGGAAGCAGCCAUGUGUCUGCCCCAGUGAGACUGAAUUAAUUGAUCUUCGAAGAGUGAAAGACACAGGAAAAGGAGGAUGGGUCAAAGAGGGGCAUAGUUUCCCUGGCUGGGGAGGAAAGAAAGAGACGUGGCUCAGACAGAGCUCUCUGCUGGGGGUGAGGUACUGCUGUUACUGAGGACAUUUUGGUUAUUUCCUGCAAAACCUCAGGGCAGGUAGGGCUGGGGAAGGUAUUAUCUGAGUGGCGAUGAGUCUCAGCUGUGUUGAAUAUGCUGUUUCUCACCACGGGAGAGUCUCUGAUGAGAUGUCAUUUGCAAUCUGCAGUCACAGUCAUUUCUGCUUCUACAUUUCCAUUCCAAUGCCUUUUCCACUGACUUUUUUGAACACUGAACACGUUUUCCCUUGUCUCAGACUCUUUACAGCUAUGUCUUUGCUUUUCAUCUCUUCACCAUGUCUUUAAUUUCCAUAAGGUCUCAGGAAAGAGUUUCCUCAUCUUUAAUGUCUUGUCUGGACAAUCCAGGUAGGGAAAUAGCUACAGAUUUCACCUCAGAUUCUGUUCUGCAUGGUUGCAAAAACAUUCAGUCCAACCACAGUUCUCCUUGCAGACCCCAGGGCCCUGAUGGAAACACCUUUCCACUAAGGUAUUGUAGGGGAGGAAGACAUUUCCUCUACCUGCUCUAGGUCCUUCUGGCCAGACAAUGAAUUAAAUUCACAUGACAGAAUAACAGGAGAAAAUUAAACAAAGCUUUAUAACAUGUAUGCAUGGGAGAGACCCAGAAAAACUGAGUAACUAGCCAAAAUGGUGGAAGCUCUCACCUUAAGUACCAUCCUCAGCUAAAGACAAAGGAGGAUGUUGGGGAGUGGGGGGUGUCAGUUAUGGGAGGUUACCAGAAAAGCACAGUAAACAAGGGUAAGGUUACAGUGCAGAUUUAGGUCCUUGCCUUCCGCAUUGAUAAGAGUUUCUCGAGAGAAGGUCAUCCCCCCUUCUUCCUGGUACAGAGAGGGAGACACCUUUACAGAUGGAGAUUUCCCUUACAAACAUAAAUGUCUCUUAACAAAGGGUAAGUAAAUGCUACUUUUCAGAGUUUCUCUCAUGUCUGCAGUUUUCAAAAGUAAGCAGCCCCAAAUAAUCCUCAUGCCAAAGAGACAUAUCUUGGGGUAGCCAAUUCCAGUCCCCCACAGUAUCCAACUGAUCAUGUAGACGUUGAUGUGGGUAACGAGCCCUUGGCCCACUUCCAGUCUACAGUGCAAAGUCAUCUCCGUCUGUACUGUAUAAUUUAAAGGCAUUUUUAGGUCAAAAUAGUUUACAAAUAACCCUGUUGUUAUAUAUUCCCAUAAUGGCACUGGUGUCUGCCCAAGUCUAGAACGAAACUUGCAAUGAUGCUCCCAAGACAUUCACCAGAAAGGAUUCUUGUAACUGAAAGAGUUUUAUUGCUGUCAGGUUUUGUUUCUCUAUUUCUUUACCCUCAUUUCGCUGAAAUGCAGUUUAAACAGUCCUUUUCUUUAUUUCUGGCUCCUUAAAGGUCUGAUGUGCCUUGUGGAGAUGAGGCCGUUGGUUGAGAUGAUUCCAGUUGAGAGAGCAGUUUUGGUGGGCUGUGUAGGACCUCAAUGUACAAAAAACCCUCCACUCCCGCCCAGCAUCUUUUUGGAUACAUGGGAGAUUUUGAUCUCUAAUGAGGAGAAGAGGGAUGAGUUAUAUUCGGGGGAUGGGCUGGAGGGGAAAGGAGGGGAAAGGACUGCAGGAGGGAGGCUAUGGCACCUGUGCUUUGAAUCAUGAUAGACAAAGGGAUUAGAGACCGAAGCUGCUCAAGUGAGAUUUUUUGAGACCUUGGACCCAAUUACAACUGCCUUAGGGUCCAGGGAGCACGGCGGGGUGCUGACUUGGGGAGGACUGAUCUCCUUGCCUCUGCCCAGAACCACUGAUGGCAUACCCUUGGGCUGCACCUUGGUGGUUGGUAUUGAGCAGUGGCAGUGAGGAGGCUCCAUCAAAUGGCCUUGUGGGCCAAGAUCCUGUCCAGGAGGAGUGGGAGCUGGAGCAGGAGGUGGGGCAGAGACGGGUGGAAAUUUCAGCACGUUAGCAGGCCCAAGAGGACACCCCCAUGGGACUCCUAGAAGUAGCAGGUUGUUUCACAGGGUUGCUGAUAGUCAGUGGGCAAGCUGCUGGUGCUUGGGCCAUCACCACUGGCUGUGAUGAGCGAGGAUGGCACCAUUUUGAAGUCAUAGGCUAGUGAGGAUUCUGUCAAUUUAAUUUAAUGAAAAGCCCAGGAAAGGCAGAAAACAUAUUUCUUUCCUCAAAUGAUCUGCAAUGACUUCAACUCUCUACUUCAUUUCUUGUCUCAUAUAAACUUGGCCAGAACCGCUGUUCCAGCUAUCUAAUGCUGUGUAACAAAUCACCCCACAAUUUAGCACCUUACAACAAUAAUCAUAUGUAAUCUCCCGUGAUUUCUGUAGGUGAGGAGUUUGAGAAAGGUUCAUCGGGGUGGUUGGGGCUCCAGUCUCACAUGUGGUUGCCGUCAGACAGCGGCUGGAGCUCAGAGAGCCGGGGCUGGAGAAACAGGUGGCUGCCGGGCACCUGUCUCGUCACGUGGUGUCAGGGCCUCUGUGUGGCCUCUCCUUGGGGACUAGUUUAGGCCUCCUCACAGCAUGGUGGCCUCAGGGCUGAAGGCUUCAAGACUGAGGACCAGAGGGCGCGAAGUGGACUAUGGAUCACCUUUUCCGGCCUAGCCUUGGAAGCUUCACGUAGCAUCACUUCAAGGAUACAUUAGGAAUCAAAACAGUCACAAAAGCUCACCUAAUGUCAAGGAGAGGGGAAUUAGACCCCACCUCUUGAUGGAGGAGCAGCAAGGUUCUAGAAGAACACGGGGGAUGGAGAGGGGUGGGAGUCAUUGUUGCAUCCAUCUUUGGAAAAUACCACCACGACCACCCUCUCCACGUGGGUGAAAUCAUCCUUCCGAGCCUUCCCCAAGGCUGGCUUCUUUCAGACAGCCUCCAUCUGUGACUGUGUCCCUUCCCGAUCCGCAUUCCGCCACCUUUUCUACCUGCUUGAGCCUCCACUCUGGCCCCGGCCCAGCUCCUCCAUCAUGUCAGCUCAUCUCCUGCUGAAUGCUGUUUAAUACGCAGGACCUCAGAUGAAAACCUCUCCCGCUCUCCUGCUGGGGAAUCCUUUCCUAAAAAGGCAGAGACUAAGAGUCCUCAGGAGUGAAGAGAGGGCAGAAAUCCAUCAGACACUGACGAAGGCGCAGGGCAGCCGGGACAGCUGGCUGAUUGAAACAUCCCUGAGUUCUUUCAUCUGAGCAUCGCACACCAGCAAGUAAUUCUAGCCAGAGAAGGUGGAGCUCAAACCCAAGUGUGAAUUCUGGCUGUGGGACUUUUGGCAAGUCACUUAACCUCUCUGAAUCUCUGUUUGCUCAUGGAAACUGUAAAAUGGGGAAUAUCAUACCCUACUUUUGUGUUAUAAUCAAAUAAGAUAAAAUGAGCAAAGUGUUUAGAACAGCCUUGAGCUCAACUGGUGCUUAAUCAAGUCUGUUCUCUUUCCAUUCCCUCUUAAUUAUCCACUGAGCCUCUUUUUUCAUUUUGCAACCAGUCUCAAACUUGCUUCUUUGCCAGGUAUGCAUUAUUGCAAGAAGCAAGGCAUUUAAAAUCAAAACAUGGUUAUAAUAAAGGCAGGCAAUUAUCACUCUGGGGGAUUCAGCAAAGGGAGACUCCUUUCCCAUGGCUGCUUUUUCACGUUCGGGUCUUCCAAACCAAUUUUUCUGCAAGAGGGUCUUCUCCGGUGAAUUGAGAAACCACCUACUCCCCCAAAGAGCCAAUCUAGGCAAUGAGAUGCUACCAAGUCGGAGAUGCAGCCCAGCCAGCAUCCUGGCCUUGGUCCUUGGAUCCAGGAUCCCAGAUUUCCCAGCCAGUCACCUGUUGCCAUCACAGUUUGGGGAGGCAUGUUUGCAGGUUUUGCUGUGGAGUCUGGGCCCCCAAGGCACACAGAAGCCUUGUAAGGCAGGCUCCACAUGCCCCACUCAAGCCCAGCCCCUUAUGAACACGCACCACAGAUCAGAUCAUGUAUUCCCUCUCCCGGAAUAAAACGCCCUCCGUAGCCACCCCGAGAACUCACCUGCGGCAGAUUAAGAUCCACUUCCUAUAUCUCUCUCUUCGGAAGGCCUCCCCUCAAGCAAAAGUGCCUUUCUCCUCCGGGGCCACAGUCACGUGGUGCCCGGGACACGCCUCCUUCCCAGACGCUCUCGCUGAGCAUCAGCAUCCCGAUAACGUGGGUGCGCCGCCUUCCCUGCCCGCCCUCCGCUGUGGACGCGGCCGCUUCUCCACCUCCCACCGUCCUCAUUCCUAGCAGAGCGCUUGGCACAGAGAAUGCUUGGUGGACAGCUGUUGACCUGAAUCAAACUGGCAAACGGCAAGACUUAAGCUUCUUCCAACACUGAUAUUCUAUGAUUAAUUUUUAAAAGUGUCUACCCAGUUAAGUUCAUUUUCAGAAUCUAAUUAAAUCCAGCAUAUAUAUUAUGGAGUAGAAAAUUUCACAUUACAACUGAAAUGUACAUAAAAAUGCUGCUUAAAUUUUUUUCUCUAAAUGACCCAUCCUACUUUGAACCUUCAUUGCUUUUUUUCUUCUUUUUUCUUUUUUCUUUUUUUGGAGGAAGAUUAGCCCUGAGCUAUCACCUGCCACCAAUCUUCCUCUUUUUGCUGAGGAAGACUGGCCCUGAGCUAACAUCCAUGCCCAUCUUCCUCUAUUUUAUGUGGGACGCCUGCCACAGCAUGGCUUGCCAAGUGGUGCAUAUGUCCGCACCCAGGAUCCGAACCGGUGAAUUCUGGGCUACUGGAGCAGAAUGUGCGAACUUAACUGCUGCGCCACCGGGCUGGCCCCAGAACCUUCAUUGCUUUUUACUUAAAAUUGCCUUUAAAAUUAACAGUCUCUGGAAUAGGAAAAGAUUUCUUCUGUAUAACACAAAAAGCACUAACCAUAAGGGGAACAUUUAAUAAACUGGACUACAUCAGAAUUAAGAACUUCUGAUCAUGAAAAGACAACCUUAAGUGUGGAAGAGAAGUUACAGACUAAGAGAAGAUAUUUGUAAUAAAUAUAUCCAACAGAGGAUUCAAAAACACAGAGACCUCAUAUGCAUCAAGAGAUAAGAUUGACAGCUCAAUAGAAAGUGGGCAAAUGACUUAAGUGGCACUUUGUGAAAGAGAAUAUUCAGACUCCCAAUGAGUUUACAAAAAAGCGGCUUGCCUUAGUCAGCUCGGGCUGCUGGAACAAAAUACCACAGGCUGAGGGGCUUAAACAGUAGAAACUUAUUUCUCACAGUUCUGGAGGCUGGAAGCCCAAGGUCAAGGUGCCAGCCGGAGGAGCUCUUCCUGGCUUUUAGAUGGAUGGCUGCCUCACUGCUGUCUCCUCACACUGCAGAGGAGGAGGAGAGGGGAGAGAAAGAGCAGAGAGCUCUCUGGAGUCUCUUCUCAGAAGGACACUGAUCCUCUUGGAUCUAGGCCCCAUCCUUAUGAGCUCAUUUAACCCUAAUUACCUCCUUAUAGGCCCUCUCUCCAAAUACAGUGUCACUGGGGUUCAGGCUUGAACAUACGCCUCUGGGGGAGAUACAGUUCAGCUCAUUCAAGGCUCAGUAUAACACUAAUGAAAUACUGCUAUACAUCCACCAGAACGGCUAAAGUUAAAAGGCUGACAGUUCCAAGUGUGGGAGAGGAUGUGGGACAAUUGUAACUCUCCUCCAUUGCAGAUGGGAGAGUAAAUUGGGAUAACCAUGCUGGGAAACUGGCAGGAUCUGCUCCAGCUGAACACCUGCAGACCGUACACCCUAGAAAUGCCACUCCUAGGAAUAUAGUGAAUCAAAGUGGAUGCGUGUGUUUUGAAAAAAGUGUGCAAGAAUGUUCCAGGAGACCUAUUGACAAUUGCUGGAAACCAGAAAUGACUCACCUGCCUGUUAAUGAUAGUGACAGUGCUAUGUGCUGUGCUGUGUCCCCUAAAAUCAGUGUGUUGAAGUCCUAACCCGCAGUACCUCAGAAUGUGACUGUAUUUAAAGAUAGGAGCUUUAAAAAGGUGAUCAAGUUAAAAAGAGACUGUGAAGGUGUGCCCUAGACUGAUCUGCCUGGUGUCCUCACAAAAAGAGGAAAUGUGGAUGCGCAGAAAGAUACCUGACGUGUGUGCACAGAGGAAAGACCGCGUGAGGACAAAGUGAGAAGGCGGCGUCUGCAAGCCAAGGAGAUAGGCCUCAGAGGCAACCAAGCCUACUGACUCCUUGAUCUUGAACUUCUGGCCUCCAGAUUCUGUUGUUUAAGCCGGCCAGUCUGCUGUACUUUGUGGCAGGUGGCCCGAGCUGACUCAGACGGGCGUAUUCCCUCCAUGAGAUGCCACACAGCAGAGGGGCUGCACGAGCCGUGAUGGCACACAGCAGCAUGGGGACAUGUCACAAACAGGAUGGCGGGCCACAGGAGGCAGCCACGAAAGAGCACCAAUGGCACGUGUGCGGCUGCACAAAGUCCAAAUCCAGGCAGAGCCAGCCUGUGGUGCUUGAGGCUUUCACUGAAGUCUGGCAAACGUCCAGAAAAGUGCACGACUGACUUGGGGUAACACCUGCAAGGGGCCUGAGGGGCUGCGGGUGCUGGUAAAUUCGGGGUCUUGAUCUGGGUGCUGGCUACACGGGUGUGUUUACUUUAUUAAGAAAAUGCAUCAGAUUGGGCACUUAGGAUUUGUGCCCUUUUCUGAUCCUUUAAUAAAAACUUGACCGAAAACACUUUACAUAAUCAUGUCCUGCAGCCGAUUUAGAGCGCACGCUCCCUAAGGAGGCCCUUGCUCCUCAGCAAGGCGUCUUCCCCAGCCUUUUCCUCUAAAAACUGAGAUCGGUUAGGUGGGCUCUGCAGGGCUAUCCUUCUCUGCCGGCUCCCACUGGUCUGGACUGAGGUAUACUUCAUCUGACCCAACUUUUGUAUUGCCUCUUCUCACUGUGUCCCCUGCUUAAGAGUCUGUGGCUUGUGUCACCCGUGAUUUGUUUUCUCAGCAUGAGCAAUGCAUUAUAACUUCUUCCAGAAUGAUUGGCUCAGCUCUCACCAGCGUGUGGUGUACUUAGGGUGGUGCAGUACACAACCUACACAACAGUCUAUGGCAACCCUGGUCUUCAUCUCAGCUCCCAAGGUUCUGUGAAGUCUGUGGGACCUAGACACACUCUCCAUCCAUCCCCUACCUAACCUUUGCCCUCAGCUGUUGUCAUGGCUGGGGCCUCCUCAUCCUUCUCUACCCCUCACAAAGACUGCAAGGUAGACAUUCCCUGGAUCUCUUGUGGAAUGGGUAGGUGUGGGUGCCAGAGCCAGGUGAGGGGCGGCUGUGAAGUUGGUUCUGGCCUGUGGAGAAAGCCAAGGAGCCAAGAGCAGCAGACACAAGGAAGAGGGAGAGAGAAUUGUGAGCGAGCCUUAGCUCUCGUCUCUCCUGAGGCCUCAACUUCCUGAGCUUUAAUUACUAAGUCCAGCAAAUUCCCCUUUUGGCCCAUGCUGGUUUGAAAUGGGUUUAUGCCCGCAAGAACCAAAAAAUUUCUGACUAAUACGUCCGUUAAAGGUUUUUUCCCCCAAAGAAGCAGACUUCCUUCAAAGGUGAAUUCGAACUCCUGGCUGGAGGAAAGCAGGAAAGUUUGUUCAAGUUUUGAAAGAGUGAGACAAGUCUGCCCCUUUUCACCCAUUCCCCUUCAGGUCCCCUUCUGCUCACCAAGACUGCGAAGAAGCCGGGCUCAGGCUCAGCUUGAGCGCCCUGUCCACGAACACCAGGCUCGAGAAUUUAGAUCUUUGCUCAACGAACAGAUCACGUGAAUGUGACAUAGUAACACCAGGAAAUACGCUCCCUGACCCAGGUGGUAUCCCCUUAGGUGCUGGUUUAUCUUCUGGGGAUGAGGAAGCCCUUCUGGGAACCCCUUUGGGGCUGACAAAAAUUCAGGCAUUGUCGGGAAUGUGGAUUAAGCUGUUCUGAUUGCAGGGGCAGAUCCAUGUUUCGAUAUUUUCCCCAUGGUUACAGCUCGAGAUUUUGAUGAGCUGUCUGAGUGUUUACAGAAGCACGAUGUUUUCAGGAGCAGCUGAGAGAGUCUUUUUGGGAGGCCUGUGUUGAGAAGCCAUUGUGACAUGGGUGUCAUCACAGGAUAUGCCGUGCCGGAUGGACAGAUACAACAGACAUGGGGAGAGGAAGCAAAGUCUCUUUAAUGAUGAGGGGUGUGGAAACGUGUGGAAAUGGUUAGAAAGCAAGAGACGACCCAGCCGGCUUCCAGAGAGAGCCUGGGCCUCGAAGCAGAUGCAAACCUCUCUAAGGAAGAAAGGGGCGGCUACAGCGGGAAUCAAAGACACCAUUUCUCAGCUUUGAGUUUUAAAGUAGUCUUAAAAUUUCAUAGCAAGACAAUGGUCUCGAAAGCCAGACUUUUCAGAGAAAGGUUUUUCUUAAAACUCCGAAGGCUGGAGUUUUCACACAUCAAACAAUCAAAGCUGAGAGAGGUUGAAUGCUCAUUUUGUGAGUCAUAGAGCAGGGCAGAAUGAGGAUAUGACAAAAGGGAAGUUUCUACCCCACAGGAAGGAGAACAGUGAUUUUGAGACUUGGGGAAAGAAUUGAGAAAUGGGGCAAGGAAAUGCAGGCAGGGGUCAGGUGGUGUGCUGGUUCUCACCACCCCUCCCAUUGGGAUCAAACUCCAGGGGUAAGGGAGGACGGGAACAUCCAGGUAGUUUUAGGGCCUCCAAGAACUUCAGGGCUGGUGCCCCCACUUCCCCAGAUGUAGCCUGAGGAGUCUUCACAUCUUUCAGAGGAGCCUUUGGGUCAGCCUGAUACUGCAUCCAACAUGGCGCCCAAGCCAAGGAGUAGAGAUGACUGAGGGAGAUGCUCUGGUGGGUUGGGCCUGAGAUAGCACCCCUGGUUCGUAAUGAUCCAGCAUAUGAUGUGGAGGAGGUCCAGAAGUUCCUGUGUGCCACAGGGGAACCUGAAAAGUAGCUGAGGUGCUAGCUGGUGAGUUCACUAGGACGUCAUCACGGCAAAAGGCAAAGUGACCAGAGCUUCAGGAUGGACUUCUCAAACCAGGGGUCAAAUGGCUUUCCGUGCAGGCCUCAGGGAAGCAGGAGCCUCAGUGAGAGGCAGGUGAGGCCAAGGCAGCCAGGCAGCCUCCAACCCCCAGGCAACAUGUAACUGUGCCGCAAGACCUGAAGACACACAAGCUUCCUCUGCAACCAGCUGCCAUCUUGGAAUGAAGAAGGAGAAGGAAACCCCUUGGGGUGAUGGAGAAACCCAAAGAUGAAGUAAUUACUCAAAAGGAAAUGAUUUUAACCCGAGAGAGUCUGAGAUGCUACAACGGCAAGAACAAGAGUUUUUUGUCUACAGUAGAAAUGAGGUCUCAGGAGAUGAUUGGGAUUUUAUUGAUGGUCAUGUUUUACACAUCCAAGCAAAUUCCACCUUCACAGGAUCCUCAUGACUUCUAUCAUAACAUACGUUAUUUUUUCCAAUUAUGAUGGUAAUAUGAUUUCAUUUUAGAAAAUUUGGGGAACAAGACCAUAGAGAAGAAAACAAAAAUCCCGUCAUCUCAUCAACCAAAGAGAACUACAGUUAACAUCUUUGUUGAUUUCCUUCCAGUCUUUUCUCUAUGUGUACGUGUUUGUGUGUGUAUUACUGUGACUGGACACUUACAUAGCUUGUUGGUUGACAAGAUUCUUUAAUGUCUAAAGCACUUUUGUUUGUGGAAAGGAAUACCCACCACUUUGUGUACUUUGUUUAUUAUCUUUAAAUAAUCACCACUUUAAAUAAUCACCAUUACAAUCACUUCUAAAUAUUCACAGGACUCAUGACCACUAAAUCGAAAAUAUAAGAAGCUAACAAAUUCAGUUUCCCCAAAUGCUUAAACAUUGAUUGAAGUGUGAUCAAUUAAACUUCCCUAAGCAAUUGAUUACCAGUCUCCAAUAUAUAUAGAUUUUCUCAUGUGUUUUAAACGCCUUAAAAUGGAGACAGAACACGCCCACAAUGACAAGGAUUUCUAAACUGGGCAGCGCUUACACUAAAGCUGUUACAGAAGCGCUAAGACCAUGGGUUUACGUCGUAUCUCCAUCAUCUCCUCCUUACUCCUCUGUUGGUUUCUCCCCAGAGGCACGACUGUCUUCCCUUAGCUGAGAGAGCGGGGCUGCCUCGGCACUGGCUGAGGUGGCGUAAAGGGCAACAGGUCAGAGACCGCUCAGAUUAUUGGCUCUGAGUGCUCAGACAGGAUUUGAUUUUUUAUAGUCCUCCUCUUUGCCCCCAAGUGACACUUGCUCUGGGUGUUCUCACUUUGUAGCCCCGCCUGUUAUAAUCCUGCUUUACAAUUGUUCUGGGCAGUGGGGCAACUGACCUGGUUUAGAUAAAAAUUUGCCACACUGAAACGACAGCUUCUCUUUCUCAUUGACUAUUUUGACCUAUAAUAUUG
rnacentral:lncRNA from 1 species